rnacentral:rRNA from 1 species
CCCUUAGAUGUUCUGGGCUGCACGCGUGCUACACUGAUAUUGCCAAUAUGUCAUUCUUAUCCGAAAUGGAUUGGGUAAUCAAGUAAUGAAAGUUCAUGCUUGGAAUCGGUAAUUGCAAUUUUAUCGUGAACGAGGAAUUCCUAGUAAGCACUAGUCAUCAGCUAAUGUUGAUUAUGUCCCUGCCCUUUGUACACACCGCCCGUCGCUACUACUGAUUGGGUGUUCAAGUGAGAUGCUUAGACCCUUGUUGCAUGGUUCAUUAUUGUGCUCCGAAAGGAAAAAGUUUCAAGCUUGAGUGUCUAGAGGAAGUAAAAGUCGUAACA